rnacentral:tRNA from 1 species
GUGGGUGUAGCUCAGUUGGUUAGAGCGCCAGGUUGUGGCCCUGGAGGUCGUGGGUUCAAAUCCCAUCACUCACCCCA